rnacentral:lncRNA from 1 species
AGUUACCCGCCCCGUCCUGCCCUGUCUUUGCUGGGGCCGUGCCCCCCCCCGUCAGCCUCCCGAUUUGGGGCCGUUCGCUGCCCCCAGCCCCUUGUGGUGCUCUCACAGGGGCUGGGGGCACAGGGUGGGGGCUCCCCCCGUGGUGCUGGUGCCAGGCGCCCCGCAGAGAGGCUGGAGCCGGGUCCCUGCCGAGCGCCCUGCGCCCCAGCAGCUCGUUUUUCCUGUUCACCCCAAAUUAUUUUAAUGAUCCCUGCACUCGCUGCGUCUCCUCCCGCCCCAGUGCUGCGCUGCCGGGGCUGAGCUGGGACAGGGCAGGGGCAGCAGCCCCGGGGCCAGCAGCCCCCCUGCUCGUGGCCCCUCCGUGCUCUGCGCCCGCUCCUCGGGGGAAUUUUUCCAUUUCUGGAGGAUUUGGGGUUUUUCUGAGGUCUGUGUGCGCCCAUCCUCGGGGAUCGAAGCGGGAGGGGAGCUGUGAGCACAGCGGGGCCGUGGCCGCAGGAAUCCCCCGCUCGCAGCCAAACCCGGCAGCUUCCCUCCCGUGGGUUUGGGUGGGGGCUGCCCCCCGGGACCCGGCGGCUCCCCCCACCCCAAAACGAGCUCAGUCCCUUCUGGCUCAGCCGGGGCUCCGCUGUCCUGGGGAGCUGGUAGCCCUGAGCUGCCCGCUGCUGGUGGGUGAGGAUUUGGGGGGGAUUUAUGGGAUUUACACCACAGCACCCAUCGGUGCUUCAAUAUAAUUAUUUAUAAAAAAAAAAGCCACAGCUACCAGCAGAAAAACCCCAGCAGAGCAGGAGCAGGGGUGCAGGGUUGUGGGGGCGCUGCCCGGUGCCCCCCCAUCCUGGUGUGGUGGUUUUGGGGGAGUUUUUCCCGUUCUGUUGCUGCUGCUCCCUGGGACACGGCGGAAUCCCCUCGGCACCGGGCAUCCCCAGAGCCCUGGGUGCUGCUCCCCCUGCCCGGGGGCAGAGGGCAGGGCUCGGGGCAGCCUCUGCUGCCUGGGUUUGGUUUCUAACACUCGGUGCUGAGCUGGGGAGGGGGCAUCAGGGAGCGGGGGGGGGGCACAGAUCGGUUGCCCC